rnacentral:rRNA from 1 species
CGAGCACGCGCGUGUGGCAUAUCAAUAAGCGGAGGAAAAGAAACUAACAAGGAUUCCCUUAGUAACGGCGAGUGAAGCGGGAAGAGCUCAAAUUUGAAAUCUUCAAGGUUUCUACCUUGACGAAUUGUAGUUUAUAGGAGUGUUUUUCUGUUAGUAGAGUUCGGUAAAAGUUCUUUGGAAUAGGACAUCAUAGAGGGUGAGAAUCCCGUAUUUGACCGUUCAUUUCUCUAGCGUGUGUGAUACACUUUCAAAGAGUCGGAUUGUUUGGGAAUGCAGUCCAAAAUGGGUGGUAAAUUUCAUCUAAAGCUAAAUAUUGGCGAGAGGACCGAUAGCGAACAAGUACCGUGAGGGAAAGAUGAAAAGAACUUUGAAAAGAGAGUUAAACAGUACGUGAAAUUGUCAAAAGGGAAGCGUUUGACACCAGUGUUGUUUUCUCGAAAAUCAAUUAAAAAAUAACUUGAUUUUGUGUUGUAUUGACCUUAAAAGCUCUCUUCACUCUUUUCCUGUUAUUUUUAAUGCACUUUUCGUUUAACAAGUCAACAUCAGUUUCUUUUGUUGUAAAAAGGUCGUUGGAAGGUGGCUUUCUUUUCGGAGAAAGUGUUUAUAGCCUUUGACUCCUGCAAUCGGAGAGACUGAGGUCUGCAGCGUAGAUCCUUUUUUGGAUUAGAUUCAUUUGUGCUAAGUUAUAGCUUUUUAUAGACAACAUGUUGACUAUAUUUAGUCUUGUAACUUACUCGCUUAUGUAAUUUUACCUACGCUUAGGAUGUUGAACUCUAUCACACACAG